rnacentral:rRNA from 1 species
UGACUAGUACAUGCCGAAAUAAGGCGAAACCGCGAAUGGCUCAUUAAAUCAGUUAUGGUUCCUUAGAUCGUUUCUUCCUACUUGGAUAACUGUGGCAAUUCUAGAGCUAAUACAUGCAGUGAGCCUGGAGCCCUUUGGGUAACGGGUGCUUUUAUUAGACCAAGAUCGAUCGGGUUUCGGCCCGUAUUGUGUGGUGACUCUGGAUAACUUUGUGCUGAUCGCAUGGCCACGAGCCGGCGACGUUUCUUUCAAGUGUCUGCCUUAUCAACUUUCGAUGGUAGGUUACUUGCUUACCAUGGUUGUUACGGGUAACGGAGAAUCAGGGUUCGAUUCCGGAGAGGGAGCCUGAGAAACGGCUACCACAUCCAAGGAAGGCAGCAGGCGCGCAAAUUACCCACUCCCGGCACGGGGAGGUAGUGACGAAAAAUAACAAUACGGGACUCUUUUGAGGCCCCGUAAUUGAAAUGAGUACACUCUAAAUCCUUUAACGAGGAUCAAUUGGAGGGCAAGUCUGGUCCCAAGCAGCCA